rnacentral:rRNA from 1 species
CCUACGGGGGGCAGCAGUAGGGAAUCUUCCACAAUGGGCGAAAGCCUGAUGGAGCAACGCCGCGUGGGUGAAGAAGGUCUUCGGAUCGUAAAACCCUGUUGUUAGAGAAGAAAGUGCGUGAGAGUAACUGUUCACGUUUCGACGGUAUCUAACCAGAAAGCCACGGCUAACUACGUGCCAGCAGCCGCGGUAAUACGUAGGUGGCAAGCGUUAUCCGGAUUUAUUGGGCGUAAAGGGAACGCAGGCGGUCUUUUAAGUCUGAUGUGAAAGCCUUCGGCUUAACCGGAGUAGUGCAUUGGAGACUGGGAGACUAGAGUGAAGAAGAGGAGAGUGGAACUCCAUGUGUAGCGGUGAAAUGCGUAGAUAUAUGGAAGAACACCAGUGGCGAAAGCGGCUCUCUGGUCUGUAACUGACGCUGAGGUUCGAAAGCGUGGGUAGCAAACAGGAUUAGAUACCCCAGUAGUC